rnacentral:rRNA from 1 species
GUAGGUGGCAAGCGUUGUCCGGAAUUAUUGGGGCGGUAAAGCGCGCGCAGGUGGUUCUUUAAGUCUGAUGUGAAAGCCCCCCGGGCUCAACCGGGGGAGGGUCAUUGGAAACUGGGGAACUUGAGUGCAGGAGAGGAAAGUGGAAUUCCACGUGUAGCGGUGAAAUGCGUAGAUAUGUGGAGGAACACCAGUGGCGAAGGCGACUUUCUGGCCUGUAACUGACACUGAGGCGCGAAAGCGUGGGGAGCAAACAGGAUUAGAUACCCUGGUAGUCCACGCCGUAAACGAUGAGUGCUAAGUGUUGGGGGGGUUUCCGCCCCUCAGUGCUGCAGCUAACGCAUUAAGCACUCCGCCUGGGGAGUACGGUCGCAAAGACUG